rnacentral:rRNA from 1 species
AGAGUUUGAUCCUGGCUCAGGAUGAACGCUAGCUACAGGCUUAACACAUGCAAGUCGAGGGGCAUCAUGGAGUUUGCUUGCAAACUCUGAUGGCGACCGGCGCACGGGUGAGUAACGCGUAUCCAACCUUCCCUAUAGUAGUGGAUAGCCCGGCGAAAGUCGGAUUAAUACACUAUGUUAUUCAACGAGGACAUCUGAAAUGAAUCAAAGGCUUGCCGCUAUAGGAUGGGGAUGCGUCUGAUUAGAUAGUAGGCGGGGUAACGGCCCACCUAGUCUACGAUCAGUAGGGGUUCUGAGAGGAAGGUCCCCCACAUUGGAACUGAGACACGGUCCAAACUCCUACGGGAGGCAGCAGUGAGGAAUAUUGGUCAAUGGGCGAGAGCCUGAACCAGCCAAGUAGCGUGCAGGAUGACGGCCCUAUGGGUUGUAAACUGCUUUUAUGCGGGGAUAAAGUUCACUACGUGUAGUGUUUUGUAGGUACCGCAUGAAUAAGGACCGGCUAAUUCCGUGCCAGCAGCCGCGGUAAUACGGAAGGUCCGGGCGUUAUCCGGAUUUAUUGGGUUUAAAGGGAGCGCAGGCCGGAGGUCAAGCGUGACGUGAAAUGUAGCCGCUCAACGGCUGAACUGCGUCGCGAACUGGCUUUCUUGAGUGAGUUCGAUGUGGGCGGAAUUCGUGGUGUAGCGGUGAAAUGCUUAGAUAUCACGAAGAACUCCGAUUGCGAAGGCAGCCCACAAGGCCUUUACUGACGCUAAAGCUCGAAGGUGCGGGUAUCGAACAGGAUUAGAUACCCUGGUAGUCCGCACGGUAAACGAUGGAUGCCCGCUUGUUGCGAUAUACUGUGAGC